GUAGGAGCCGGCUUGCUGGCGAUCAACGAUGACGCGGUCUGUCUGCAUAACCGCGGUGUCUGGAUCGCCAGCAAGCCGGCUCCUAC
rnacentral:ncRNA from 2 species